ACGGUAAACCCUUUUGACUACACGAGCGGCGAACGGGUGAGUAACACGUGGGUGAUCUGCCUCGCACUUCGGGAUAAGCCUGGGAAACUGGGUCUAAUACCGGAUAUGACCUGCUGUCGCAUGGCGGUGGGUGGAAAGAUUUAUCGGUGCGAGAUGGGCCCGCGGCCUAUCAGCUUGUUGGUGGGGUAAUGGCCUACCAAGGCGACGACGGGUAGCCCGGCCUGAGAGGGCGACCGGCCACACUGGGACUGAGACACGGCCCAGACUCCUACGGGAGGCAGCAGUGGGGAAUAUUGCACAAUGGGCGAAAGCCUGAUGCAGCGACGCCGCGUGAGGGAUGACGGCCUUCGGGUUGUAAACCUCUUUCGACAGGGACGAAGCGCAAGUGACGGUACCUGUAGAAGAAGCACCGGCCAACUACGUGCCAGCAGCCGCGGUAAUACGUAGGGUGCGAGCGUUGUCCGGAAUUACUGGGCGUAAAGAGCUUGUAGGCGGUUUGUCGCGUCGUCCGUGAAAACUUGGGGCUCAACCCCAAGCUUGCGGGCGAUACGGGCAGACUUGAGUACUGCAGGGGAGACUGGAAUUCCUGGUGUAGCGGUGAAAUGCGCAGAUAUCAGGAGGAACACCGGUGGCGAAGGCGGGUCUCUGGGCAGUAACUGACGCUGAGAAGCGAAAGCGUGGGUAGCGAACAGGAUUAGAUACCCUGGUAGUCCACGCCGUAAACGGUGGGCGCUAGGUGUGGGUUUCCUUCCAGGCCAAUAGCAAA
rnacentral:rRNA from 1 species